rnacentral:lncRNA from 1 species
AAAAGAGGAAAUCAUCAGAAAGUUUCGGGGUUCAAGAAAAGUAAAAAAAAAAGGGUAAUAAUAAUCCCCAGCGGAUAAGCAGCAUUCAAGCCAUGGUUAUCUAUGUGUUACCGUUUAUCCAGACAUAUUUCUGUUCGGUAUUCAGGCCGACUUUCUCCGUACCAGACGGGUUUUUCUUUCAAGAUUGCUUCUUCGCCAAUUCUGACAGGCGUUGUUAAUUAUUUUCCCAUCGGAGUGCAAAUUGUUCGUCUGUUCUUGGUAUUCAAU